rnacentral:rRNA from 1 species
UACGUAGGGUGCAAGCGUUGUCCGGAAUUAUUGGGCGUAAAGAGCUCGUAGGCGGUCUGUCGCGUCGGCUGUGAAAACCCGGAGCUCAACUCCGGGCCUGCAGUCGAUACGGGCAGACUGGAGUUCGGCAGGGGAGACUGGAAUUCCUGGUGUAGCGGUGAAAUGCGCAGAUAUCAGGAAGAACACCCGUGGCGAAGGCGGCUCUCUGGAACGCAACUGACGCUGAGACGCGAAAGCGUGGGGAGCAAACAGG